rnacentral:snRNA from 1 species
GGGUGUGAGGGCGAUCUGGCUGCAACAUAUGUCACCCCAUUGAUCACCAGGGCUGAUUCUGGCUGGCGAGGCGGGUGUCCCCUUCCUCCCUCACCACUCCAUGUGCGUCCCUCCCAGUGCUGUGCGCUCGGUCCAAGAGGACGACCUUCCCCGAAUAGAGGAGGACCGGUCUCCAGUCCAGGGUGCAGGAGUAGCUGCGCUCCCCUGCUAGAACCUCCAAACAAGCUCUUAAGAGAUACAAUUUAAUUUGUAAAGCAAGCUCUACAAUCUGAAGCAAAACAAACCAAAUUU